rnacentral:rRNA from 1 species
GAUGAACGCUGGCGGUAUGCCUAACACAUGCAAGUCGUACGAGAGUUUUUAACUCUAGUGGCGGACGGGUGAGUAACACGUGAGAAUUUGCCUUUAGGAGGGGGAUAACAAUUGGAAACGAAUGGCUAAUACCCCAUAUGCUUUUGAGUGAAAUGGAUUUUAUCCGCCUAGAGAGAAGCUCGCGGCUGAUUAGCUUGUUGGUAAGGUAAGAGCUUACCAAGGCGACGAUCAGUAUCUGGUUUGAGAGGACGAUCAGACACACUGGAACUGAGACACGGUCCAGACUCCUACGGAGGCAGCAGUGGGGAAUUUUCCGCAAUGGGCGAAAGCCUGACGGAGCAAUACCGCGUGAGGGAAGAAUGCCUAA